AUGGCCUCCACCUUCCUCCCGCUCCUCCUCCUCCUCGCCGCCCUCCCAGGGCUGCGGGCGGCCGUGACCCUGGUGGAGUCCGGGGGCACCUCAAGGCCCCGGGGGAGUCCCUGCGGCUCCUCUGCCGUGCCUCCGGCUUCACCUUCGGGGACUAUUCCAUGCAGUGGCUGCGCCAGAGCCCUGGGAAGGGGCUGGAAUGGGUCGCUGGGAUCAAGAGUGAUAGUGGUGCCAUCUACUACACGCCGGCAGUGAGGGGCCGAUUCACCAUCUCCCGGGACAACGGGCAGAGCUCAGUGACGCUGCAGAUGAACAACCUCAAGGAGGAGGAUUCUGCCACCUAUUUCUGUGCCAGGGGCUACACUGGUGGUUGGGCUGGUUACA